rnacentral:rRNA from 1 species
UACGAAGGGGGCGAGCGUUGUUCGGAUUUACUGGGCGUAAAGGGCGCGCAGGCGGCUCAUUUUGUCAGGCGUGAAAGCCCCGGGCUUAACCUGGGAACUGCGUUUGAUACAGAUGGGCUAGAGUUCGGGAGAGGAGAGUGGAAUUCCCAGUGUAGAGGUGAAAUUCGUAGAUAUUGGGAAGAACACCGGUGGCGAAGGCGGCUCUCUGGACCGAGACUGACGCUGAGGCGCGAAAGCGUGGGGAGCAAACAGG